rnacentral:tRNA from 1 species
GGGCGCAUAGCUCAGUUGGUCCAGAGCGUACGCUUCACACGCGUAAGGUCGUAGGUUCGAAUCCUACUGCGCCCA